AGCGCCGCCAUCCUGCUCAAGGGAAAGGAGGGCGGGCAGGCUUCCCGGCCUUUAUGGGCACCCUCGCCCGGCUGAAGGCUACAGCUGCCAUUUUGAGAAAGGGCAAGGCGACCUGGUGAGGCGCGUGUCGCCAUGCUGGAGUUGGGCACCAAGCAGCGAGUGAAGCUAUUGCGGCGCCAUCCUGUGUGGGAAAGCUGCAUAUCUGUGAGGCGAGGCGGGCUUUGUGUGGGAGUGGCGUUCAGUGCAGUGUGAGCAGCCGCGCCUAGCGGCCAAGUCAAGCUGACAGUCUUUUUCGGUGACUGUGAUUCUGCUUUUUGGGGCCUCUGACUCUCCUUCUUGGGGCCUAUGGCAAGGCGCGAUACUCGUUCCGGGCGAAGAACGGCUUUUCCUAGUGCGUCUUUCAUUUCCAGGCCCUCCCAGCGCCUCGCAGCCAGUUUCCUGGUUUUGCGCCACUCUCAGGCUGCCACCCAAUGCCCUGAAGGGUCGGCACGAAGCGGCGCUUUGAAGGAGCGCAUUCCAGCGCGCCUGAGAAGGAGGAUCCUGGGUCGCCGCAGGGGCAGAUGCUGGGAGCGGCUACAGGCCCUCCCUGCCCGCAGAGGUUGCUGGCUGCGCCGCCCCCUUCCCGGGGAAUCCCAGUUGGCUCCACUUAGAUCCGCCGCUCCAUCAGCAGAGCCCCAGAGAGGGAUGCUGAAAGUUGGCGUUAAAUUAUGAUGGGCUGAACGUGGCUGUUUACGCCUUCAGGGGUGCGCUGUGGGGCAGCCGCGUCGAAAUGAGAGCAGCCGAAGUGGUGCUGAGCCGCACGCCAAAAAUAUCCGUGAGGAUUGCCGGGGUGUUCCCUCAGACUCCAGCUCAUACAAGCAUGCGGCUCGGAGGAAAAGUAACCCGGAGAUCGGCGAUCAGCUUGCUUAUCGUAUAAACAUUCGUAAUGGGGAUCUCCCUUGUCCGUUGACCUCAGUAUUUCAUAAGAUAUGCUUCAUGUGCCUAAAGGAGGAAUGAGCCAUGAGGAGAUGCAGUGGCUAAAGUCCUGCGUUGUGUUAGAGCUGUGAAAAAGCCCCGGUUUUGCACACAUUCUCACCAUAAAGAAUGCUGCUAUUCGAGCCUCGGACACUUAUUGUCACUGUGUCUCUGCCACUGUCAUUGAGAGAUCAAAUGUCUCAGUGAUGACAUUACCUGACUGACGUUUCCUGUUUAUUUCUUUUUAAAUAACAAUACCAAGCACUCACAAAACAUUUUGCACUUUACAGCAAUAUCGAGUGUUAGCUAAUGAGCCUGCUCACACCCAAAUGAGCUAUAUGACACCAUUAUUACAUGCAGAUGGUCAGAAUGACUUCCUCAGGGGUAUUGUGAGUCAGUGCCACAGGAAUGAGAAUGAGGUGUCUACAAACAAACUAUGGGCCAGAUAUGGAGAGGUGAAAGAAGCAGUGGGAGGAACAAUUAAUUCCAUAGGAAUUCCACUAAUUGACACAGACUCUUACUCGAGACUGUCCUACAUGUCUGGAUUUAGAGAAAAAGAACAGAGACACGAGGAAAAAGAAAAACGAGGCGGUAUACAUUAGAAGGGGGUAUUACACAUUUUGGGAAGUCUGUACCUCUCAAGUGCCUCAGCCAAUGAGGAGAGUGAAAUGUGGCCAGGAAAUCAGGAUUAAAAAGGAGGCUGCAUCCCCUAUCAAUUUUGAUAGACCGCAUGGGGAAUGCCUCAUGAUCUCUCCUUUAUUGAAAUAAAGUUACAGGACUCCUCUGUUUUCUUUUUGGACAUAAACCUCUGAUGUUUAUGUCCAAAAAGAAGUUUGUGAAAUAAUUUUCCUGACAACACCUUUGUUCACGGACCCUUUGUAAACUCAAAUUUAAACAAUAAACUUAUUGAGGACUUA